AUACAACACAUCUACAGUUCACAAAGGACUUUCACUUACAUGAUCUCAUUUUACCCUCAGAAGAGUUUGUAAAGUAGAACACUGAUCACAUUUCACAAGUAAGGAACUGCUCUCAGCACCGACGCCCUCACCUUUGCGAUGCCAUGCUUCCGUGGUUGGUUUUGGGGCACUAUCUUCUUUAGUUGUUUUUUUCCCCUCUUCUCAUUAUUCCUUCUCAGGGAAGGCUUUUUCUUCUCUAUUUCCCCUUAAAUAUAUAUAGAUGUUCAUGGGCCUCUCCUCUGCUCCUGCUAUAUCCUCUCAUUAGAUGACCUCAUCCACUCUGAUGGUUUUAGCUACCACAUAUAAACUGACAUCUGCCAAAUCUAUUAUGCAGAGCUCAGAUCUCUCCACUGAGCACCGGAGCUACACAUACACAACUCCUGCCUAAACUUGCACGUUCAUGCAGCAUGUCCAACACGAGGAGCACGGAGAGCAGUCCCAAGCCUACAGAAAGCAGCCAGCAGGGACUGUAGGAGGAAGGGGUCUGGUGUUCAGCAGAGGGACAGGACUAGCAAAAGCUGCUGGAGCUCAGAGGUAUGUGAAUCCUAAACACUCAGUGUUAUUUUUCACUGUUUUGAUUUUUGAUUCCUAUGUUAAAUCUUUUUAUACAUGGUCUUAAUUUCAAGUUGCUUCCAGUCUUUCUUUGAAAGCAAGAGGUUUAAAGUAUAAAUUUGAAUGAUGCUCGCAAGCCAAUGUAUGCUAGAAAAGCCAAG